AGCGAACGCUGGCGGCAGGCCUAACACAUGCAAGUCGAACGAACCUUUCGGGGUUAGUGGCGGACGGGUGAGUAACACGUGGGAACGUGCCUUUAGGUUCGGAAUAACUCAGGGAAACUUGUGCUAAUACCGAAUGUGCCCUUCGGGGGAAAGAUUUAUCGCCUUUAGAGCGGCCCGCGUCUGAUUAGCUAGUUGGUUGAGGUAAUGGCUCACCAAGGCGACGAUCAGUAGCUGGUCUGAGAGGAUGAUCAGCCACAUUGGGACUGAGACACGGCCCAAACUCCUACGGGAGGCAGCAGUGGGGAAUCUGGCGCAAUGGGCGAAAGCCUGACGCAGCCAUGCCGCGUGAAUGAUGAAGGUCUUAGGAUUGUAAAAUUCUUUCACCGGGGACGAUAAUGACGGUACCCGGAGAAGAAGCCCCGGCUAACUUCGU
rnacentral:rRNA from 1 species